UACGUAGGGGGCUAGCGUUGUCCGGAAUCAUUGGGCGUAAAGAGCGUGUAGGCGGUCCGGUAAGUCCGCUGUGAAAGUCGGGGGCUCAACCCUCGAAUGCCGGUGGAUACUGUCGGGCUAGAGUACGGAAGAGGCGAGUGGAAUUCCUGGUGUAGCGGUGAAAUGCGCAGAUAUCAGGAGGAACACCUGAGGUGAAGACGGGUUGCUGGGCCGACACUGACGCUGAAGCGCGAAAGCCAGGGGAGCAAACGGG
rnacentral:rRNA from 1 species